CACGUAGGGGGCAAGCGUUGUCCGGAUUUAUUGGGCGUAAAGAGCUCGUAGGUGGCUCGGUAAGUCGGGUGUUAAACCCCCAGGCUCAACCUGGGGACGCCACUCGAUACUGCUGUGGCUUGAGUCCGGUAGGGGAGCGUGGAAUUCCUGGUGUAGCGGUGAAAUGCGCAGAUAUCAGGAGGAACACCAGCGGCGAAGGCGGCGCUCUGGGCCGGUACUGACACUGAGGAGCGAAAGCGUGGGUAGCAAACAGG
rnacentral:rRNA from 1 species